rnacentral:sRNA from 1 species
GUGUCAUAAAGUACGCCCGGAUAAUCCGGAAAAUGUCAUUCGUUCGGAAACGUCAAGACAAAUAUGUCCACAUUCGA